AAGGUUGCUUGUCACAAUCGCGUUAAUUGAAUUCUUGGCAAACGUAUCAUGCAUUCAUAGUUACAAUUGCGUCGUCAACGCUUAUGAUUUUCAUGGAACUUAAUGAUGUUUAAUUGUAUCUCUAUUAUGCAUUCAUAUAGGGGACUUUUAGAGAAUGAUUUGGGUUGUCGCAUGCAUUCAUCCAAUUCAAUGAGUAAAGGAAAAUUUGAGGGUUAAUUUGUGCAUCACGGUUAAUCUGGGGUGUUGAGCAUCAUAGUUUAUUGAAAAGCAAUUGGAGAUUGAUUUGUAUGCAAGUGUGUCAUGUGUGGAGAAAGACCUUCUAGCUAGCCCAUCAUCUAUCCAAAACAACCAAUUUCGUGCAAAUCUGUUCAGUUCUAGUUUCUAUUUUGUUUUACUUUAUUUUCGUCCAAAACCCAAUCCCCCUUUACUUUAGUGUGUCUAAUUAGUUAGAAUCUGUUUUAGUUUGUGUUUUUAAGUGUUUUAAGUCUAUAGAGUCUAGUUAAGUGUUUUUAAGUUUCUUUUUGUAAGUCAGUUUAGUUUAGAUUAGCAAUCCCUCCUAAUCCCCGGUUCAGAAUGAUCCCUACUUAUACAUAUACUACAAUUGUCAAAAGGGUUUAAUUUGAGUGCUUAACUUUCAUCACAUCAGUGGGUAAAAGACAUGAAUCUCUACAUGACUCAAGAAGCUGAGAAACCAUUAAAGCCAACAAUGGUAUGAAAAAGCUGAAUAAGCCUCCGCCAUGAUCUUCAUUCAAAGAAUUAUGCUCAAAGCAUUACAAAUGGAAGUGUCUCCUGAACGAGAAUUUCAUGGCUUUUUGGCACGCUCAUACAAACUGCCUAAUCAUGAAAGAUAUUGCCCGAAGCACAUCAUGAUUACGUCCAUGAAUGAGUACGAUUCUGAAGUUUAUAAUUCUGAUCGAAUAUUGACUGGAGAAUAUUUUCCUCGUUCUUCCAUGUUUCUAACUUGUUCUUGAAGUGGCAUUGUAGAAAACGAAAGUUUACUAAAAUUCUUGGAUCUAAUUACUACCACACUUGUGAGAGAAAGGUACUCCAACAAUUCAGCUGGAAGGUACCGAAUGGUAUAAACCCAGUUUCGACUGGAGUCUACCAAAUGGUGAUGCCCUGCUUCGGUAGAGGUGUACCGAAGGGCGUGCUUUGCUUACAUAGAGGUGCACCCAAUGGCGAGCUCUGCUUCGAAAGAGGUGCACCAAACGAUAUUACUCUGCUUAGGCAGAAGCUUACCGAACAACCCCUCCAACUUCGACUGGAGUCUACCGAACCCAAGUCUGGGUCUAUCUUUCUCACAAUCCAAUUUUGAGUUUGUUUUUUUACAAUAUAUGGUAGAAUCAGGGCCUACCAAGAUGUGACAUCACGCCUGAAGUGUGAUCUUUGGCACCUAAGACCUAAAACUUCAAGAAUAGGGAUAGUAUUCUCGAACCUCAACCUUGCAUAAUCUACUUCCAUCUUGAUCGAAGAGAUCAUUGGUGAUGCAUUUAUUUAUGCCUCCACCAAUGUCAUGGAUGAGUACCAUUCUUGCAGUCAAUAUGUGAAACUAAUUUUUCUCCACCGAACACCAUUGGAAGGGCAGAAUUUUCACAUGAAUGGCUAAUCUUAUUGAUAUUGUCUUGGAAUAUGAAUAAAUUUUGGUUUACUUGGUGAACGUUUUUCUAUGAUCUUGGAUGUUUUAAUUAUGGAUAAUCUUAUUGAUAUUGUCUUGCAAUAUGGGUUAAUUGAAUCAUGUUUCUUGUAUAAAUGUGACCAAAUUCAAUUAAACACGUGAUUAGGUAUGAAUGUGGGAAAGUUAGUUGUCUAGAUGAAUGCAAUACUAUACAUACUAACUUUAUCCCUAAAUCACAUCUCUAGCAAUGACUUUAGGUCUAUCUAACCUGAUUAAGAGUAUUGGCACGCUCCCCGUUGUAUGCAUGGUACUACAUUACCAUUUAAGAAACCUUAUAUUCUCCCCGUUCUAAAAGAACGUUGUUGAGUUUUAAGGAUACUCGAGAUGACAAUGAUCAUGAAUGAAACCAUUGAAGAAAAUAGAAUGAUAUAUCUUUGCACCAUCUUAAAAAAUGAGCAUAAAGCUUCGUUUUAGGGCCAAUGGGCUAACUCUCGACUAGAAUACACCACGUGUGGCUGACCUGAAGCCAGGUGAUUUGAGUAGUUUACUUGCCUUGGCACAACCUUUUGGAACACUUAGGUCAAACAAUGAUGCCAUAACAUAUCUCAUUACCUGAAGUAAUGAGGUUAUGCUUACAAGCACACUUUGUCAAGCUUGCUCAUUUAGGAAAUUUGAUUUCUAUAUCAUCCAUCGCAAAGAUACGAAAUGACCCUAUUUUCAUAGUGGAUUCAAGGGAAUAUAUGCGGACUAAUCCAACCAAAAUGCGGACCAUAUAAAUACUUAUGGUUUGGUUGAUAAAUCGACAAACUGGUCACAUGUUUGUCCACACAUAUUGCUGCUAAACCUUAUGGUUGAUUUUAAGGGUUCACCACUCUAAUUAUCCCAUAAAGUCUGGAAGACUGGACAAUGCCAAAGAGUUUAUGUUGAAGAUGCUUCGAUAAGUAUUGCAUUUCUUUUGGGUUCAUAAUUGGACAUCAAAUUCCCAUUUUCACCCUAAAACAGCCUUGCAGAGUGAUCAUAAAGCGCAAAUUAAAUAAUCGCUUGGACAUUAGUGAGCGCACCAAGCUUUCGUUUUCUGCUUAGGGCUAUGUAAUCUUGUAUGCAACUAUGUUGGUCCGCCUUGAGGCCUAUUGCCACCUAACCUAUUUGACUUUAUUGUUAGUUACUAUGUAUGAACUUGACGUUUCAUACUUAUGCAUUUAAGUGUGCAUUCCAUAUGCCAAGUUGCACUGCCGCAACGUACCAACAUGGGACCUCAAAGAAGGAUGUGAAUCUUUAUCGAUCAUGAUUCUCCUUCGCACUAGCUUUUUAGAGCCCUUGCAUGUGAUCUCUUUACCGCUCAUUUGCAGAUUAUCACUUCAAUGAGACAGUCUUCCCAACGUUAGAGGGAGAUAAGAACAUCAACUUUCUUGUAGAACGGUGUGAAUUUGCAUGGACGUUGCCCACUGUGUCUCAUCUUAAUCCUCGUAUCGCACAAUUUUGAUGAAUUCUAGCUUUCAGAAUGUUGCUCCAGAUGCAUUCCUUUGAUCUAUCUAAAAUGAUGAGAUCAUAUACCAGCUGCAAAUAUGCCUGCAAUGGUAGACAUAAUGUCGAGUCAACAUCCUUGAAAGGUGUGCCACCCUUGAAAGACGGUUUGGCCAUCCAUGUUGGAUGACCUGGUACCCUGGCGGAUAACUAAUCAAUCUAUCUCGGCCUGAAGCAUAACAUAUCAUUUGGUUCAUAGGAUUCACUUUCUUAGACGAAAAAAAGAUCAUGGCACAACAUAAAUCUAUACUUGAUCGCUAUCUCAAUUAUUUCCAUCUCAUAAGGUUAAUCCGGGUUACUCCUGAGAUUUGAAGUUCUUGGUCCAAUAUACUAGUUUGGAUAAGAUAAUGGAAUUGGAAUAAGAUUAUCAUUGAUGAUGUUUUCAUUUAUAUGGUAGCUACCGACAUAAAUGAAAAUGGAUGAUAUUGAAUCGUGUUCCGUUGAUUAGUGGCAACGUAGAACUGAUUGGACAACCAAAAUUACAAUCCAGGUUAAAUUCCUUACCAAAGUGUGUUUUGGACCUAUCAUUCCUACACUGCCUAAGGUAACCCUGUUGUGUUAUUAGUGGGAAAGGAAAUGUAGAGAGAUGAAUGAGAUCGUACAAUGUAGUGCACGCCUUGCGGCGUAAGGUUUCUCUUAAACUCCUUAUGAUUGAUUGUAGCGUUAUGAAAUGUGGUUAGUGUUUCUCCAUUGAGAUAUUGAUGCAAAGAUUUACAUAUAAGUUCCCAAAUAAUUAUUUGGAGCGUUCACUUAUGGAUUCAAGCAAUCCAGCGGAUGUGGUAUAACCAUCUAAGUGAUUAUUUGAUCAGUUAGAGAUAUGAAUUAUGCCCUUGCAUGUUAAACUUUUGAAUUGCUAAAGUUACAGUUUAUGUCCAUGACAUGAAUCUCACUAUGACUUUAGAAAAAGCUUGAGAAAACUGCCACACACCUAAAGACGGAAUUUGAGAUGAAGGAUCUUAGGAAAACCCAUUUAUGCCUUGACCUAAAGUUCAAACGUUGUUUUGACAGUAUUGUGGUCUACUGGUCGAACUACAUCCUGAAGAUGUUACCUUUAAGUAUACAUAUGAUCUUCCAUACCCUAUAUGCAAAUGAGACCUUUGAAGAAGUUAUGGAAUCUGAAGUUCCAUAUCUGAGUUCAACUUUGAACUUUCUUGUACUUAGCUCAUUACAUUAGAUAUGACAUCUUAUUCGUUGUUGAUUUAUUGGUAAAGAUGCAGCACCGCGCCUACACACGACCACUAAAUUGGUAAUAAAGACUUUUUUCCGCUACCUUGAAAGGUCUUAUGGAUUUGGGCUAAUCCUAACACAUCCCGAGCGGAUUUGACCCCCUUGAUCCUUGGAAUGAUGCUUGCCGUGUUUGUUAUGCUGACACAUAUUACUUAUCAAACUAGCACAAGGCACAUCCCCGAAUGGUUAUGUCUUUACUGUUAGAGAUAUCGCAAUAUCUUGGAGGUCCAAAAUAUGACCUUAGUUGCGAAAUCUUCGAACCGUUCCAAGACUCACCUCAUUUCACUUUGCCACACGUAAGACAUGGUUAAGAGCUAUUGUUAAGCAUAUUUGAAGUACUUACUAUUUUCAUCCAUCGUUGAGUCCUGAUGAUAAUCCGUGAAGACUAUGCCGCAUGUAUCAACCAGACUAAGACAUGAUACUUCAACAAAGUCAACACCACGACACAUUGCGUCUACAUUUCAUCAACAAAGCAUUAGGAGAUUGAAGUCAAGUAAGCCGAUCCCAGACAACCUUUCUGACCUCUACCCAAUGUCAUUACCAAAGUUAACCUUCCAGAAGCUUGUCCGAGGAAUUAGUAUGCCUAACUAUUUGUAUACAAUGCUCAUAGUUCUCAUUUGGAAGUUUUGUCAAAUUUAGGAGGAGUAUCCAGAAGUAUACUCACUUGAUCUUAAUGUACUCUUUUUCCUUAUGAAUAGGAGCAUUUUUCCCACUACGUUUUUGCCACCUAACUAGGUUUUGACGAGGCUCCAAUUUUAGGCUGGUCAUACCCUUAUGAGUUUCUCUACUCGCGUCUAGAAGAUGUUUAGUUUUGACUUACUUCUCAUUUUUCUCCUUAGUCUAUGAGUUUUUUCCCACCUUAGGUUUUACCAUAGCGAAGUUUUGUGAGUUUUACAUUUUAUGCAUUCUUCCUUUGUUUUGAGACUCACAUUCACUCAUUGUGCCAAAGACUUUAUCAACUAUACUUACUUCAUCGCUGAAUACGUGAUGCGCCAUUUAGUUAAGUAUUUACACACUCAAAAGUGAGUGUUGUAGUUCUAUUAGAUUAGGAAUGUGAUUAUGUAAAUCCUAUUAUAUCUGAGAUAUUCUUAUGGGAUUCUACCAUAUCACUUAGACUAGAUAUUAUCCUGUUAGAGUUGUAAUUCUAUUGGGGUAAGGAAUUUACCUUCCUUACUACUAUAAAUAAAGGCACAAUGGGGUAGAAUAACAUACACCUCACAAUUACACAUCUAUCUCUUCUCUUUCUAUGUUGCCGCAUCCCCUUUCUCUAAGCCCUUAUAUUAUUCAGUAAAUUAUGCCUGCAACAAAAUUCAAAUUAUGUUUUUGUUUUAAUAAUUAAUGCAUAUUUUGUUCAAAUGUCUCCCAUUAAAUAUUUGAAUUUAUUAAUAUAAACAUUUUAAAUUAUUAAUUUUUUAAACUUUGUCCAAAUAUAUAUCUUUAUAAAUUUGCCUAUAUAAGAAAACAUUAAAACAUAGUGGCACAUAAGAAAAAUAUGAAAAUACAUAAGUGUACCGAAAUAUAUUAAAAUAAAUUUUUGUACCUAAAUUUUUGUACCGAAAUAUAUUAUAAUCCAUUAAUAUGCCUAAAUGUUUGUAACAAAUAUAUGUAUCGAAAUGCAUUACAUAGAAUUAGGGUACCUAACUUUGUUUGCCAAAAUAUAUUAUAUUCAUUUGAUAUACGUAAAUGUUUGUACUAAAAUGUAUAUACCGAAAUAUAUUACAUAAAUAGAACUAGUGUACCUAAAUGUUAGCACCGAAAUGUAUUAUAUUGUACCUAAAUGUUAGCACAAGAAAUAUAUCUAUCAAAAUGUAUGCACUAAAAUGUAUUAUAUUGAAUUAAUGUAUCUAAAUGUGUGUACCGAAAUGAAUAUAUUAAAAUAUAUUAAAAGAUGGUGAAGUAUUAAGGAAGCAACAGCGAGGAUAGUUUCUCUAAACAAGUUCAGUUACAAAGCUAGUAUUAUUGUUUAUGUGAGGGACUCUGCAAGAACGUUUUAAGCCUUGUAUUCUAAUACCAUUGCUGCAUGAGCGGUUGGGAAUCUAAGCUGAAAAUCAUUAGACAUAUUCAAUACCGACAAGCUUGAUUAUGUCUCUUGCGCUUUCUUCUUGUCAAUUUAGUAUAUAAUCUUUGUCUGUUCGUAUAUUGCUGCAGGUUGUGCUUCAAGCUCUUGUAUCCGUGAAUCCUAGCUAGAUGUUAUAGUACUCUUUUAUUUUCUUUUUUAGGUCGUCAAUAUUUUUUCAUGUGUAUAAAAGUAAGUAUUGAAGAAUGAUGUGUUUUUUUUUUUUGGACGAAAAGUUAAAAUUCAUUAAAACUUAAAGCAAAAUACAAAGCCAACCAACGGCCCAAGAUAAACAAUGGGAGGUUCAAAACCAUAGCGACAAAUGACUAAAAACUGAAAACAGACGAUAAAGAUAAAACAACCUAAAAUACAUCCCAGAGAAACAUCCUGCCGCCACCAAACUCUCGCUAGCAACCACCAGAGUGACAGCCAUGUAGGAACCAGAGUGAAGGAGGAUCCGCAGAGAGUCAAGCACAACAAAAGUAACAAAACAAACAAAAAGAAGGAAAAUCCACAGCAAAAAAUAGAUCUUGGAGUGCUGGAACCAACCAAGCUAUUUAAAUCUGUCCCGCCAACCACCACACCUACAAGGAAAGAACCAAGUUGACAUAACAUGGGGGUGGAGAGGGCCAAUGAAGAUGUGUAAAACACCCUUACUACGACGAAGGCCCCCAAAUUUUUCGGCAUGCCGGUAAAGCAAGGGGCAGUGGAGUAGAGAUCUACAUCCCAAAUCGAGUCCUAAACUCAAAGAUCUGAUUUUUGGUGGGGAUAAAGGGGAGGUAAAGGAGGGUUCACAGAUGGAGGUGUCGGUAAGGGAAAGGGCUGGGGAGAUGGGUGUGAGAGAAAAUGGCUGCAAAAAUGGACUUAGAUUGUGAAACAGGGGCAAAAGGAAGGAGGAGAAGAAAAGUAAUGCUGCAAAGCGGAAAAUUCAUAGCUAAAGCCGGUCAAAAAUGCUGGGAUAACCGCGAAGGACGCCGAGAAUGUAACCUCACAAACCGACAACCAUAGGCAGCAAAAGGGAAGGAUCUAGACAAAAAUACUUAAAAGGAGAAGAAGAAGGAGGGAGAGCAAGGAGGCCUGCCGACCCCAACCAAAGGAAGGAGUCGGCGACGAGAGCAGGGGAAAAUGGGGUUCUGUGUGCAAGAGAGAAUAGAGAGAGCGGCCACGGUUUGAUCCAUUUGCCAUUGUUGAAGAAUGAUGUGUGAUUGACUAAAAUAAUGUAGAAAUAUUAAUGGAAAAGCUUAUGUUAUGUUUCUUUCUAUUAUUAGUAUUUUUAUUAAUUAUUUUUAUCAACAUGACAGAUAAAAUACCAGUAAACUAAAUGUUGAUCGGUUUGAUCAUGACAACGUUCCAACUCACAAUUACCCUAGGUACACAGUAGCAUGGAAGCGAGGGUUUGCAUGCCCAAACAAAGGGUACAUUUCUUCAAGGAUCCCUGAUCUUUAGUGUGAUCAAAUUUUCCCCCGUUGGGUGGCAUGUUCCAAGUAAACUCUAAUCGAAGCCUUACAAAUGCAAGGAGCACCAUAUGUCACUAUAUAUAUAUAUAUAUGGUGAACCUUGGCCUAGGCUAACUCCUAUGCAAACCUCUCCAUCCACUAAAGAACGUAAUGAACCUCAACUCUUUCUCUUCCAAGUCCAGUACUAGUUGCUCCUCAUAAUUCAGAAGAAAGAAUGCUUUUCAAUGAUAUUUUAUUUCAUAUCAAAACAAGGUAUAUAUACAACCCUAUACAGAUAUGGGAAAGAAUAAGAGAAGAAUAAUUACAUCCUAAACUAGGAAACCAAUUACAGUAGGAAUCCCACAAUUAUAGGAAUCCUAAUAUAAGUCAACACUCCCCCUCAAGUUGGUGCAUAGAUGUUGCACAUGCCCAACUUGUCUAGAAAUCUGGAGAACUUGUUACUAGAAACCGCCUUCGUGAGAAUAUCUGCUACUUGGUCGUCCGUUCCUAUGGGAGGAACCUCAAUUACUUUACUAUCUAGCUUCUCUUUAAUAAAGAACCGAUCAACCUCUACAUGCUUGGUCCGAUCAUGUUGCACAGGAUUAUGAGCAAUAUCCCGUGCCGCUUUAUUGUCACAGAAUAACUUCAUAGGUAGAUCUUGUUUAACCCCCACAUCUUGCAACAGAAACUUAAGCCACAAGAGUUCACAAAUACCGAGUGCCAUGCCUCUAAAUUCGGCUUCUGCGCUUGACCUUGAUACGACAUUCUGCUUCUUGCUUCUCCACGUUACUAGAUUUCCCCCAACAAAGGUGAAAUACCCAGAUGUCGAGCGUCUAUCAUCCGUCGAUCCUGCCCAAUCAGCAUCCGUAUAGCAGUCAAUUCUGAAAUGCUCAUUUUUCCGAAAUAAAAUUCCUUUACUAGGGCUUCCCUUUAAGUAACUCAAUAUUCUCAUAACUGCACUCAUAUGUUGUUCUCCUGGAUUGUGCAUAUAUUGACUAAUCACACUUAAGGCAUGAGCAAGAUCAGGCCUAGUGUGAGCCAAGUACAUUAAUCUUCCUACUAACCUUUGAUACCUCCCUUUAUCAACCGGUACUUGGUUCUGAUCUAUACCCAACUUCAUUCCUUCGGCCAAAUGAGUAGACACCGGCUUACAUGCUGUCAUACCGGUUUCUUCCAACAGGUCAAGAACAUACUUCCUUUGUGAUAGAAAUAUCCCGGACUUGCAUCUUGAUACUUCAAUCCCAAGAAAAUAUUUCAAAGGACCAAGGUCUUUCAUUUCAAACUCUGUGGACAAAUAACUUUUCAAGGCUGCUUGCUCAACAGGAUCAUCACCAGUAACCACCAUAUCAUCCACAUACACGAUUAGAGCCGUAACCUUUCCGUUCUGGUGUUUCAGAAACAACGUGUGAUCCCAAUUGCUCUGUAUAUACCCAAAUGCCCUCAUGGACCUGGUAAAUCUACCAAACCAGGCUCGAGGAGACUGCUUUAAUCCAUACAGUGAUUUCUUGAGCCUACAUACCUUUUGUUUCUGUCUGUCCGAAUCACUGCACCCUGGUGGAAGAUCCAUGUAAAUCUCCUCAGUCAGAUCUCCAUGGAGGAAAGCAUUUUUUACGUCGAACUGUUGCAAAGGCCAAUCCAGAUUUGCUGCUAAGGACAGUAGAACACGAACUGUAUUGAUCUUUGCCACUGGUGCGAAUGUAUCAGUGUAAUCAAUGCCAUAUUUCUGUGUAUACCCCUUUGCCACCAAUCUUGCUUUAAAGCGAUCUAUCUUUCCGUCGACUUUAUAUUUUACUGUAUAAACCCAUUUGCAUCCCACUGUUUUCUUUCCGGCUGGCAAGUCUAUUAUGUCCCAGGUAGUAUUCUUCUUCAACGAUCUCAAUUCUUCGUUCAUUGCAUCUUUCCAGCGGGAAUCUGCUAAAGCCUCCUGCACACUGUUAGGAAUAGAUACAGUAGAUAAUUGAUAUACAAAUGACUUAUUUGAUUCUGACAAGUGACAGGUAGACACAUAAUGGUUUAAUGGGUAUCUCACUCUGGAAUCAGAGUUUGGCUCACUCAUGGAAUACUUGUGUUUACACUCAGGAUCUGCCUCAUAAGUGGGUUUGGGAAUACCUCUAUUAAUACGCUCUGGAAGGCGAUGAAGUGGAGGUGCAUCCGGUGUAAAAGACGAUUGGUUAUGAGAAGUAGUAUCUCGUGACACAUGCUGUAAUUGCUGCUCUGUUUCACUACAAUUGGGCGGCUGCAUCUCAUCUUCCAACUCAAUACCCGUGAGACCCGUAGGCUGUUCCUCUUCCUGACGUGUUGGCUACUCCUCAGUAGGCUGCUCGGUAGGACUAAACCCAGAAAACACGGGCUGCUGCCCUUCCCCAGGUGCCGUGGGCUGCUGCCCUUCCCUAGAAGCCGUGUACUCCAAGCUCAACACAUCCCUAUCAUCGCGAGUCAGAACUUCAUCAUUGCAGUACUCCCCCUGAAGUGAGGACGGGGAGGAACCAAAGAACAUUUCAUUCUCGUGAAAACUCACAUCCUGAGUAAUAAACAUCUUUUUACUCGAAGGAUGAUAACAACGAUACCCUUUCUGGGUAGUAGCAUACCCCAAAAAAACACAACGAAGAGCUCUAGGUUCAAGUUUAGUCUUCCGUUGAGGGGGAUGGAGGUGAACAAAUGCAACACAUCCGAUGACCCGUGGGGGAAGAUUGGGAGUCGGGGGGCUGCUAGUCUGAGAUGUGAGAGCCUGAAAUGACGUAUGGAAGUCGAGAGUUCGAGAUGGAAGGCAAUUAAUAAGAUAGGUUGCAGACGUAAGUGCCUCUCCCCAAUAAUGGAGCGGCAGAUGUGCCGCAAGUAGGGAAGCACGAACCAUUUCUAACAAGUGUCGAUUUUUCCUUUCUGCAACCCCAUUCUGUUGAGGAGUAUACAGACACGUGGUCUGAUGAACAAUACCGUGCAACUCUAAGAAUGAACGAAGUUCCAUAUUAACAUAUUCUCCACCAUUGUCACUGCGAAGAACCUGGAUAUUCCUGUUGUAUUGUACAACAAUCAUUUUAUGAAACCGUUGGAAGGCCGAACUAACUUCACUCUUUGACUUUAACAAAAUAACCCAAGUCAUGCGGGUACAAUCAUCAAUAAAAGUAACAAACCAAUGAGCACCACCAAGAGUGGCUACUUUUGACGGUCCCCAUACAUCAGAAUGCACAAUCAUAAAAGGAACAGUACUUUUAUUUAAACUGGGAGGAAAAGAGGUUCGAUGGCUUUUAGCCAUUUCACAAACAUCACACUUAAACUGAGAAACAUCAGUCUUGACAAACAAACUAGGAAAUAACUUAUGCAGAUAACCAAAGGAAGCAUGCCCAAGUCGCCGGUGCCACAUCCAGAUGUCUGACACUUUAUUAGUAACCCCUUGAGAAUCAUCAACGGAAAGAGCUUGAGUCAGCAAGCUAGAACUACUGGUGGUCAACUCCAAGUAAUAAAGUUUCCCUCUUCUAAUACCAUAACCAAUCGUCUUCCACGUCCGGAUGUCUUUAAAAACACAAAAAUAUGGCCAAAAAAUAACCAAACAAUGUAAGGCAAAGGUUAUUUGAGCAACGGACAACAAAUUAUAAUUUAGAGAGGGAACCACAAGAACAGUGUCAAGUUUCAUGGUAUCAGAAAGGGAAACAACGCCUUCCCCAAUAACAGGGACGGCAUUACCAUUAGCAACAUUGACCUCGGUUUGUGUGGAUGUUUUUAGUGAUGGAACCUGUCUAGAAUCAUAAGUCAUAUGUUCAGUAGCUUCGGAAUCAAUUAUCCAUGUAUUAUUCAUAACAUAAGUAGAAGUACUGAGUGCCUUACCAUCACUUCCUGCCGCAGCUAUCAUGGCAGAUGCCUUGUCGGCUAUCUGAUCCGAAUCAUUCUUGGUUUCUACAAUGGAGGCUCGAGAUUUGUUGCACCGAGGAUCACGGGUCUUAUCCCAAUUCUCGGGAUAUCCAAUCAGCUCAAAACAACGACUCUUGGAGUGUCCCAUCAGGCCACAGUGUGGGCACUUACCUUGUGGACGAUCCCGGCUUGUCUGGUUUGGCCGAGUUGAUCCAGGCCGGUUUUGUACCCCUUCUCGAUUCGACCCACUAGAUGAUCCACGGGCCCUUGCUGCCAUGGCAGCAGACUCCCCCUUAUCAACCUUUGUCUUCAUUACUUCCUUUCGAUCGGCUUCUCGACGAACAUAGGCAUAAGAAGCCUGCAGGCCAAGUGGGGGAUCCUUCCGCAGCACUUCUCCACGCACCUGAUCAAACCCAUCAUCAAGACCACCAAGAAACACAUAGACCCGUUGUCUCUCAGUGGAUUUCUGAAACACUUUGAUGUCAUUCUCACACUCCAUGGAUACUUUAUUAAAGUGAUCCAAUUCUUGGAAGAUCUCAGUGAGCUCCCCAAAAUAGGUAGCUAAGGGUCGGCCAUUCUGACGCAGACGGGAUGCCUUCUGAUUCAACGAAUAAAUUCUAGCCUCGUCAUUCUCAUCAAAGUAGGCAGCCUUCAAGGAGUCCCAAAUCUCCUUCGAUGUAGACAACCGAAUGUACCGUUUCAUAAUCUCGGGCUUCAUGGAAGACAAAAGCCAACUCUUAAUUUUUUGAUCUUCAGAAAACCAAUCAUCAUAUUUAGGAUCAUCUUCGCUAGGUGCCUUGAUAGACCCACGAAGAUAUCCCAUCUUCUUCCUUCCAGCAAUAUGAAUUUGAAUGAGAGGAGCCCAUAAAUCAUAGUUCUUUUCAUCCAAAACCAUACCAAUAUUAAAGCUUGAAUUCUCUGACUGCACCAUAAUUGGAGCAGCCACUGAAACAAUCUGUGAACCAGCCCCCUUUUCUUCAGCCAUCUCUCUGUUGCUUCGGUGUUGACUGACACAAACUAGGCAGAGGAAAAAAAAAACAGCAGCGGUGAUGGGACCUAGAUCACGUUGGACAAAACAACAGGGCAGCAACACCCUAUCUGGUGCUCGCUGCAAUCGGUCAGAGCAGCAACACCUUCUCUGGUGCUCACUGCAAUCAGUCAAGGAACGGGCAGCAACAACCCUAAGGUUGUUCGUUGCAAUGGAUCAGGUACACGGCAGGAAAAAAUUAGGGUUCAGUUUUUUUUUUCUAACCCGGCUCUGGUGCCAAGAAGAAAGAAUGCUUUUCAAUGAUAUUUUAUUUCAUAUCAAAACAAGGUAUAUAUACAACCCUAUACAGAUAUGGGAAAGAAUAAGGGAAGAAUAAUUACAUCCUAAACUAGGAAACCAAUUACAGUAGGAAUCCCACAAUUAUAGGAAUCCUAAUAUAAGUCAACAAAUUCGACUGGUUUGAAAAAUUGGGUACCAAGCUCAAUAAGAAGGGAGAGAAUGACAAGCAUAAGGCUUGUGUGGUGGCAAAAAGUUGGAAGAAUUGCUAUUAAACUACAAGGAGGUGUUUGCUCCAGUAGCCAGAGUGGAUACUAUUGGUUUGGUUUUCUUCAUGACUACUUAAAUUCAUGGUAAAUAUUUCAAUUAAAUGUAAAAUCUGCUUUUGUACAUGGGACUUGUAGGAACAAGUGUAUGUUGAAAAGAACCCCCAGUUAGAUUAUGAGUAUGAAGUUGACAUUAGAACCGGCUAGUGUGUUUGAAUUUGAUAUGGAAAAGUCUUGUUGUUAAGCUAAAAGAUGUCCUUUUUCUUGUAGGAUUAAGAGUACUGAGAGUCGUUAAUGUUUGUGGGACGUAACUUUGUACUGGAACUCCAAUACACUCAUGAGUUUGAUAUGGAUUGAUUGGUUGAAUCCCAUACUAAUUCCAAUAGGAGAAUGGUUAGGAAAACAUUCUACAUAGAACCUUUUUGUUCCAAAGACCUAUUUUUUGGAGAGUACUUGUGCUUUGUUAAAGAGGAGAAGGCUGAUCGUUUAGAAGCUGUUAUGGCUUCAUCUUCUGCAUCGAAUUUUGCAGUUAAGUUUAUUCCGCAAACUUAUGUCAUUAGUUAGUCAUGUUUAUUGUUCUUGUGUGUUGUUAUUCACUGGACAAAUCUGUGAUUUAUGGAUUGUGUUUAUAUUUAGUUCUUACACCUCCCACCCCACGUUAUGUGUAUACUAGUUGAAGAGAAAGCACGCCAAAUAAACAGUCAAUUGCGUGGAACUGAUAAUUCUUUGCCCUGAGGUCCUUUAGGUUUCGAUCAUCGAUUAUCUGUUUUGUGCUUGUGUUAAUGCUUUUCCUUUUGGUUCAACAAUUUUUGUUUCCACAAGAUACUAGUAAUUGGAUCUCAAAACAAAUUCUCCUCAACAUGCUCCAAUGAUUGAUCGCAGUGACCAACAAAGUGAAGUAUGGCUGGACAAACAUAAUUCGCUAGUACCUUGUUAGUCUGCAUGAACACUUGUUGCAAGAAACCCCAUUGUAAGUCAUAAAAAAAAACACUGGUACCGUAAGAAACCCUAUUGUAAGUCAUCACAGAAGAAAAUCAUCUUCUUGUUACUAGUCCUUAUUGCCUCUAGUUGAUAAUAAGAUGGCUUAGUUUGGUUUCCCAACAUUGAUGCAUUGGAAAUGUAUUACAUCGCGAACUGGUAGGUGUUGAGGGAAAACAGACCUUGUCACACGCCUUUGCAUAAAUAAAUAUAGUUUAUUAGUUUAAUCUAAUCUAAGUUCAGAAAAAUAUUGGUUAAAGCCGUCUCAUUAAAUGUAAUAUGUUUAAAUAGUAAGUCCAAGAAAUAUUUAAUAGAGAGAAUGUAAUUAAAGAAGUUAGAUUCAUGAGGCAUUUUUUUGUCAUACACAUACUAAACGUUCAUGAUCAUAGGAUUUUCAAUCGGACAUUAGAAAUCCGAUAGAAUCAGUAUGUAUUAUGUCUUAUCUUUUCAGAAAGUGACUACUCUCGAGUCAUUGAUGUGAAAGAUAUCACUCUGUGCCUCAUUAAUUAGAACCUAAUGGAACGUACAACGUGUAAGGUAGGGAUUGAAGAAUACAAAGGAGUUGAGUAACUAGGAUUGAUUAAAAGUUAAUAAUCAAACGAAUAAAGUUCGAAUUGGGCCUUAAGCUAAAUUUGGGUUUCAUAGUGAAAUUGGUAAUAGGCAGACUUUAUUGUGAUAAUGUAUAAUAAUAGGCAAUAUAGGACCUAUUUCUACCCAAGACAAUAAAAAAACAACAUAGCUAUUAUUAUGGUCUAGGAUACCAUGACUUCAAACAUGACUACUACAGGCAAAAUGUAUGAUAUUUGAUAGGAGCAUAUUUAUGUGAUUUAGUUAUCUUGUUUUCUUGCAUUUUCAUAGUUAGUUUCUAUUUAUUAUAGUGAUUUAAGCUAUUUUCGUGUGUUUGUAGGUCAAAAUGACAAAGUUGGCAAGAAAGUGCAAUUUGGAGCAUCUUAGAGCAAUUUUGAGCCUGGAAUGGAUAUCAUAUGUGGGGAGCACUUUGGAUGGACAUUUUUGAAGUUCAAAAGACUAGGAAUAUGCUAAGGAGAUGAAUAUAAUAAAUCCAAGACAACGAAGAUAAUGAAACAGCUCAAAAGAAGGAAACAUUAUCCAAAACCUUAUUCAACCUUAUCUUAUCCAAACUAACCUUAUCUUAUCUUAUCCUAUCCUAAUCUUCAUGCCUUAAUUCCAGUUGCAAGGGGGGAUUAUUUUCAGACUUCGAUACAUAAAAACUUGUUUCUAGAAGGCCUAUCCCUUCUACUAACCGCACCUUGUUUCCCUUUUCCCUCUUGGAUUCUGAAUUGAAUUAGUCUUUUUCCUUGUGGAUUUGGAUUGUGUAAAGCCUUUUCAGAAAUUAAUUAGGCUGUGACCCUUUCCUUGAGAACCAAGCCUUAUGCCGCACCCUAGGGCCCUUAUCCCUUAUUUCUGCUAAUUUCUAACCCUAGUCUGAUUUCCCUAGGGUUGGUCAUGCCUAUAAAUACAUAUUCUCUGCCACAAAUCAGAACAACACCCCCCAUAUAUUUCUACACCAUAAGUCAUGCCAAAUACACAGAAAUUCAUCAAGUGCCACAGCAAGGGGAAGGAAGGAAAGGAGAAGUCUUUGUGCCGUACCUGUGCUCAAGCUUUUGGGAGUGUUGGAGUGCCUCUUGGGUGUCUUCUAUCCUUGUUUUAGUUUUACAAUUAUGUUGAUUUCAUUGUGUUGCAAACAUGUGGAACUAAUUCCUUUAUAGUUGGAGGUGAAUUCGAAGCCAUGAUUAUAUAUUUUAUAUGAACUAAUUACGUCCAAUUAUUGUUUAUUGAGUCUUGAAUGUGAUUUACUUAUCUGAGUUAUCAAAACUUGUUUAUGUAUGUAGACUGAGGGUCGACACGUAAUUUGCAUGCAUGAUUUUGAUGUUAGAGUCUAAGGGAGUUUCACCGAAUCGUUAUAAACUUAUAUUCACAAGUAGUGGAAGUCACUAGUCAUGAUUGUAUUAAGUAAAUUCUAGGCAGGAGUAUCAUGCUUUACAUAGUUACAAAUGCUUCCUCAAUGCUUAUGGUUUUCAAAGAACUUAAUGACCUUCAAUAUGUGUUUCUAUCAUGCUUUUCAUAGUUAGGGAACUUGAUAAGGAUAAUUUGGUUGCAAUGCAUAUUCCAUCCAAUUCAAUGAGUUAAGGAAAAUCUGAUGGUUAAUUUGUGCUAUCAUGGUUAAUUUGGGGUGUUGUCAAUCAUAGUCUAAAAGAAUAAUAACUGUAAAUUGGUUUGUAUGCAUAUGUCAUGUGUGGAGAAGGACCCUUUAACUAGCCUUUCACCCUUUUCAAUUCACCAAAUUCGUUUUUAUAAAGUGUUUUAUGCAAAGUUUAUGUUUUAAGUUUUAAAUUCAUAAAAAACAAUCCCCCUUUCAUUGAGUCUUGUUAUUUGGGUCAAAGUCUGUUUUCUUCAAAUUCGUUUUUAUAAAGUGUUUUAUGCAAAGUUUCUGUUUUAAGUUUUAAAUUCGUAAAAAACAAUCCCCCUUUCAUUGAGUCUUGUUAUUUGGGUCAAAGUCUGUUUUCUUUUAGUCUUUUAGUCAAGUUAAGUCUUAUUUUUGUCGAAAUCACUUGUUAGGUCUAGAGUUGAGUCUUUUUUAUUGUUUGUUGUUGUUUUGAGUGUUUUGAGUCAGUUUUGAGUCUAUAGAGUCUGAUUUAGUGUUUUUAAGUCUUAUUUGUGUUGAUUAGCAUCCCUAGUUAAUCCCCAGUCUAGAACGAUCCCUACUUACAUCUUUACUACAAUUGUCAACAAUAGGGUUUAAUUUGUGUGUCAAGUUAAUUUUCACAUCAAAUUUUGGCGCCGUUGCUGGGGAUUAGGAAAAUUGCUAAUCUUCCCCUAGUUAUUGUUGUGAGUUUCAUUCUAUUUUGUUUCUGUUUUGUUUUGUUUUCUGAUUUUGUUUUGUGUUGUGUUGUGUUGCUUUCUUUGUUUUAGGUACUAGUUUAUGACUUGAAGUUCUUAACCUAUUCGUGCACAUGUAUUGGAGUUUGACGAUGAUUUUGAAUGAACGUUGAGAAGGAAAAAGAAGCAGCCAGAACCUAAUCCACCUGGUUCUAGCUCUGAAUCCGAAUCUGAAGUUGAAAAUGAAGAGGAAUUCAAAGAGGAACAAGACAUGGCUGUGGAUAAUCGAAUAAUCAAAGAACUUUCAGCAUCGGGAUUGGACAAUGUCAUGCCUCUCUGCAUUCAAUACCCUAUAGGAGCCCAAGGCAAAACCGAUGAGUUCGAGUUGAAGUUAAGCUUGCUGCAUCAUAUUCCCAAAUACCAUGGGCUGUCCAUGGAAAAUCCAAACAAGCAUUUGAAGGAAUUUGAAGUAGUAUGCUCAAGUAUGACACCCAUCAAUGUGGAUGGGAAUAUUUUGAAGAUGAAAGUCUUUCCAUUCUUUCUUAUGGACAAGGCUAAAGAUUGGCUUUAUGAACUAGCACCUGGAACCGUUACUUUUUGGGAAAGCAUGAAGAGAGCAUUCAUAAAGAAAUUCUUCCCAACUUCAAUAGUCAUUCUUUUGAGGAAGAAAAUUAGUGGAAUUCAACAAAGCUAAGGAGAAUCCUUUCCAGCGUAUUAUGAGCAUUUUAAGACGUUAGUUGCAUCCUGCCCAUAACAUCAAAUGAAGGAAGAGCUUUUAAUUCAAUAUUUCUAGGAAUGACUACUUCCAAUUGAGAGACAAAUGCUAGAUGCCUCGGCGGGUGGUGCUUUGGUUGACAAAACCUAAUUGCAGCCAAGAUCUUAAUAGCGAAUCGAGCCUUGAUUGCACAACAAUAUGAAGUAGUUGGAGGAAGAAACCCCCCAUGACAGCAAUAACAAGUAAAUGAGGUAAGUGCAAUUUUUGAAAUUCAAUCUCAAGUGACUAAUCUCACUGUUCUUGUGUCACAGGUUUUAGAUUGAUCCAAAGUGCAAGGUGCGGCAAUUUGUGGUGUGUGCUCUAUGCAAUGACAUCUCAAUGAUCAAUGCCCUUAAUUAAUAGAGAAUGGAGGAUGGGCUAAUGUCAGCCAAAAUCAGCCACGGAAUGAUCCAUUCUCUCACACCUACAAUCCGGGCUGGUGAGAUCACCUAAAUACGAAGUGGAGGGAGCCCCAACAACCUCAACACCAAUGGUGAUUUCGACAGCCGCCUCCUGGGAUAUUCAUAAGGUGAUUCAUACCAAUUCGACAUCAACCAUAAUCUGCCCAAUCAAACUCAGGUUCAUCAUUGGAUAAUGAUAAAUUUCUUCAAUUACUAACUUCAUUAACGCAGGGAUUACAAAAUCAAGCCAAAGAAGUUGGUGAAUUAAAGAAGCAAAUAGGGCAAAUGGCGGAAUUCAUGGGACAGUUUCAAGAGCAAGGCAAACUGCCUAGUUCAACAGUUAUCAAUCCGAAUAGAGGAUUUGAAACUGGCAACACUAUCACCUUGAGAAGUGGCAAGCAGGUUGGAACUAACCCACAACCAUCUAGAUCAAGUUAAAAUGAGGACAAGAAGUUGUUGAACGAAGAGGAUGAAAAAGUCAAGCCCACGGCAAGGGUAGAAAAACCCUUGUUGCAACCCCUUAAAGCCUCUAAGCCGUCCACCACAGGUAAGGUUGUUCCAAAUGUGACUCAUUCCAACCCUAUUCCACCCAAUGUACCUUUCCCUCACAAAUUUAUGCAAGCCAGGAACGAAGAGGAUGAAAAAGACAUUCUGGAGACGUUUAGGAAGGUGCACGUCAAUAUCCCACUCCCGCUCCUUGAUGCUAUAAAGCAAAUACUGAAGUACGCUAAGUUUUUUAAGAAGCUUUGUACAACAAGGAAACGAAUUAGGGAGAAAGAGAUGGUACAUGUAAGUGAGAAUGUCUUUGCAAUGUUGCAAAGAAAGCUGCCACCUAAAUGCAAAGAUCCAAGUAGUUUCACUAUCCCUUGUUUAAUUGGUAAUACAAGGUUUGAACAUGCUAUGCUAGAUUUAGGUGCAUCAAUUAAUGUCAUGCCAUAUUCUGUUUAUGCAUCUAUGAAUCUAGGAGAGCUUAAAAAUGAUGGUGUUAUUAUUCAAUUAGCCAAUCGAUCUAAUGUAUACCUGAAAGGAGUGUUGGAAGAUGUUUUGGUGCAGGUAGAUCACUUGAUUUUUCCUGCAGAUUUCUACGUGCCUGACAUGGAGGACUCAGGCCACUCUCCACCAUCGCCAAUCCUACUUGGACGACUGAUAGUAGCAUAUUUAUGCGACUUAGUUAGUUUGUUUUCUUGCAUUUUCAUAGUUUGUUUGUGUUUAUUAUAGUGUUUUAAGCUAUUUUUGUGUGUUUGUAGGUCCAUAUGACAAAGUUGGCAAGAAAGUGCAAUUUGGAGCAUUUUGAGGUAGUUUUGGGCAUCAAAUGGAUAGCUUAUGAAUGAAGCAAGAUGGAUGGACGAAUUUGAAGUUCAAGAGGCUAGGAAUGAGCUGAAAAGAGUGAAGAAAUAAAUCCAAGACAAAGAAGAUAAGGAAUUAGCUCAAAAGAAGGAACAUUAUCCAAAACCUUAUCCAACCUUAUCUUAUCUUAUCCUUGCCUAAUUUAGCCUUAUCUUAUCCUAUCUUAUCCAAAUCAGUUUGUGCCUUAAUUCCAACUAUUUCUAAGCGAUAAUUAUGCAUUUAAAACAUAUAUUUUAGAUUCUAGAAUCCUUAUCCCUUAAGUGCCGUAUAUUUGCCCUUACCUAGGUGAAUUAGGAUUUGUAAUCCUUCUCUACAACCAUGCCGUGUAUCCUUGUUCAUUAGGAUCAGAAAUAGGUGCUGGAACAUCCUUUCAAGAAGCCCUAUCCUUUCUCUUAAACCUGCCGCACC
rnacentral:lncRNA from 1 species